AGUAGCUUAUGUUCUGUAACGGGUUGGAUCCGACGCCUCUAGAAGGCUACUGUAGGCUCUCCUCCCUAACUCUUACUCAAUACAUCUGCGACGAAAUAGAACGGAAACUUUUCGCUUAGAUAUUCAUGCUUGGAUACACUGUCCUGGCAUCCUACGGGACGUGAAACAACUAGGAUGCGUUGU
rnacentral:ribozyme from 1 species